GUCAGGAUGGCCGAGCGGUCUAAGGCGCCAGACUCAAGCUUACCACUUGCCGGGCAAACCGGUUCUAAGUAUUCUGGUCUUCGAUAGAAGGCGUGGGUUCAAAUCCCACUUCUGACA
rnacentral:tRNA from 1 species